rnacentral:tRNA from 1 species
AGCCCGGUGGUGUAGUGGUCUAGCAUAGCAUGGGCGUUUCGGGCCAGAAACACGGAAGCGUCCCUAGUCGGCUCUGGAUCCCCUCGAACAGAGGGUUGGAGCAACCUGCUGACGGGAGUUCGAAUCUCCCCCGGGCUACCA